AUUGAACGCUGGCGGAAUGCUUUACACAUGCAAGUCGAGCGGCAGCGCGGGGGCAACCCUGGCGGCGAGCGGCGAACGGGUGAGUAAUGCAUCGGAACGUACCCAUUUGUGGGGGAUAACUGUCCGAAAGGACAGCUAAUACCGCAUAAGUCCUGAGGGAGAAAGCGGGGGAUCGCAAGACCUCGCGCGAAUGGAGCGGCCGAUGCCGGAUUAGCUAGUUGGUAGGGUAAAGGCCUACCAAGGCGACGAUCCGUAGCUGGUCUGAGAGGAUGAUCAGCCACACUGGAACUGAGACACGGUCCAGACUCCUACGGGAGGCAGCAGUGGGGAAUUUUGGACAAUGGGGGCAACCCUGAUCCAGCCAUUCCGCGUGAGUGAAGAAGGCCUUCGGGUUGUAAAGCUCUUUCGGCAGGAACGAAACGGUCCUGGUUAAUACCUGGGGCUAAUGACGGUACCUGAAGAAGAAGCACCGGCUAACUACGUGCCAGCCGCCGCAGUAA
rnacentral:rRNA from 1 species